rfam:Bombyx mori DNA, contig: Bm_scaf3_contig3171, strain: p50T/Dazao, build 2, whole genome shotgun sequence.
UUAACUCAAAUUUGUAUGGAGUUAGAACGUUUUCCCACGUUUGCCGCUAGAGGCGCUGUUACAACUGCAUACAAAUUUGAAUUA